AUGCCCCCCACCCGUAGAAGCCAGGUGGCACUGUUUAAUCACCAGAAGCCAGGAGGCUGCAAUUACAAUAAUUGCAAGGCGAGGUCAGCAGAGUAGCAGAGGGGGCGUCAUCCUCAGGGAGCUGUAGACAUUUGGUUAAUAGACAUAGCAUCCCUGGGGGCAAAACAGAUGAGCUGUCAAGAAGGAUGCUGCUUAACAUCUAUAACCGAAAGAGGCAAAAAUGCAGGAGCAGAGGCGUGAGGGCAAUUGCUCCAAUAAAAAGUAACGAGCUCUUACUCGUUUCCCUGAGCCAGUUUUCAAAUCUGGAACCCAUUGACUAACAAAGUGGCCGGUGCCUAGAAGAGGGAACUUGCAGCUAUUACAGGACUGCAAUGAUUCUCCCAGUACUUCCCUCAGAGGCAGCGAUGGCCAUUUACUCAGCUCACUGUGCACUGAGGUAGGAGGAGCACCAGAAUAGCUGGAGGACUGCGGUCUGAGUCGACAUUAAGGCAUUAUCAUGGCCCUUGAGUAAAGUCAGAACUUAUUGGCUCUUUACAAUAAAUGAAGCCCUGGCUAAAGUCCAGCUUACAACGGAGAACUGGGAGUGACUCAGUGUUCAUUUCUCCAGUGCUCAGGGGAUCUUCCCGACUCAAGGAUUGAACCCAUGUCUCCUGAACUGGCAGGCAGGUUCUUUACCGCUGAGUCACCAGGGAAGCCCCCAAUUACAUGAGCUGUGUUAACCUCCUGCCCUCUAUCACAAAAUAAUACAAAGAGGUCUGAACCACAUAAAUAUCCCCAGAGUACCACGUUAAUCCCUGUAUUGAAGAGAUCAUGCCAACUGGAGAGAACAAGAGACAGCUAGUACCCUGGACAGCUUAACAAGACAUGGUGUUUUCAUGAAGUGUGUGUUAAGACCUGUGAAGAUUCGAGCUGCUGCUGCUACUAAGUCAUUCAGUCGUGUCCGACUCUGUGCGACCCCAUAGACGGCAGCCCACCGGGCUCCCCCGUCCCUGGGAUUCUCCAGGCAAGAACACUGGAGUGGGUUGCCAUUUCCUUCUCCAAUGCAUGAAAGUGAAAAGUGAAAGUGAAGUCACUCAGUCAUGUCCGACUCUAGCGAC
ensembl:lncRNA